rfam:Gossypium arboreum cultivar AKA8401 contig_45989_1, whole genome shotgun sequence.
GAUGACUGUAUGCCUCUUUGUAUGACUUCUCCAAAUACUAAAUCAGAAGUUAAUGCUUGUGCUUCUCUUCAUCUGGUGUGCAAGUUUGGCUCUUCUGUGACAUCU